rnacentral:misc_RNA from 1 species
GAUGAAGAACGCAGCGAAAUGCGAUAAGUAGUGUGAAUUGCAGAAUUCAGUGAAUCAUCGAAUCUUUGAACGCACAUUGCGCCCCUUGGUAUUCCAUGGGGCAUGCCUGUUCGAGCGUCAUUUGUACCCUCAAGCUUUGCUUGGUGUUGGGUGUUUGUCCUCUCCUUUGCGUUUGGACUCGCCUUAAAGCAAUUGGCAGCCAGUGUUUUGGUAUUGAAGCGCAGCACAUUUUGCGAUUCUAGCCGAUAAUACUUGCGUCCAUAAGCCUUUUUUAACUUUUGACCUCGGAUCAGGUAGGGAUACCCGCUGAACUUAAGCAUAUCAAUAAGCGAGGA